rnacentral:rRNA from 1 species
GAUCCUGGCUCAGGAUGAACGCUGGCGGCGUGCUUAACACAUGCAAGUCGAACGAUGAAGCCCAGCUUGCUGGGUGGAUUAGUGGCGAACGGGUGAGUAACACGUGAGUAACCUGCCCUUGACUCUGGGAUAAGCCUGGGAAACUGGGUCUAAUACCGGAUAUGAGCUUCCGUCGCAUGGUGGUUGUUGGAAAGAUUUAUCGGUCAUGGAUGGACUCGCGGCCUAUCAGCUUGUUGG